ACAAGUUAAAACACACACUACCACUUCCAAUAUGAGCUUGCAUUAUUCAUCGCCGGAUUCGAGGCCUCACCACUAGAAACCGUGCCCACGUCUCUCUCUUUGAAGACGAGCUUGACUCAUCCAUCGCCGGAGCCAGAGUUGUACUACUAAAAACCGUGCCAACAACCUUUGCCUCCAUCGGAACAAAGCCAUCCAACGCCGGAGCCAGGGCUGCACCACUGGAAAUUAUGCGAUUGGCCUUUGCCUACACUGGAAUGAAGCUAUUUAUCACCGGAUCAACAUAAUUGAACUGUAGAUAUAAAUUAAACUUCAAAACUUAAACAAUGUGCGAGCGUACGAUGAGGCGGAUGCAGCAACGAGGCAGAAAAGGGCAGCGGAUGAUGAGGAGAUGAAAAGAGUGUCUAGUCUUAUUCCAGGUUGUGCAUGCAUUGCAUGGCAUUGUCCCAGCUGUAAGACCACUAUGGACACUGCCCUUUGAUAGGACUUGACCCAUUUCCUGUCAGUCCUUCGCUCUUCGCUGGGUAUCACUUGCUCUGUUUAUAAAGGUUAUUAGUUUUGUUCUUUUAUUCAUCAAAUGUAUAAUUGUAUAUUAUUCAUGGAAUUGUGUUGAUGAUUUUACUUGGAAAUGGAGUUUAGUUUACUUGAAGAAUGAGAGCUAAUAACAAAUGGCACUCGGUAUGUAUGCUCCGAGAAGUAUCAUACUUUUUCAUAGACAAACAUACUUUUUUAUAAAAAUGAAUGAUUCCAAUCUAGAAAAGAUAAAUCAGUAGAGUUUUUUUUUUUCCUUUUCUUUCUUUUUAAAUGUGCAUAUAUUACCAAUGUCAUAUAUAAUUUUACUUGUAUUAGAAGAAAAAAAAAGAUGAACAAGUUCACAAGUACUUCAUCAAAACAACAAAAACCUUAUCUAAAUCCACCAACUAAUUAACCUUGGAUAGGCAUUAAUUUAUUAGGAACUUCAAUAGAAGUGAUGGUCAAAGUUUCUCUGUAUUAUUGUCAGUCAAAGCUAACAUAAAAAAGAUCUUCACAAGCUUAGACUUUGGUCAAUCUUAAGUUGUGUUCUCAGUUCAUUUCUUGAAGGACUUUGUUGCAGUUUGCAUGGCUUUUUGUUCUAUCACCAUUGUUAUCAAUUAUCAGAGAAAAGGGUUAUGAUGGAGAUGCAGCUAUGGUUAAGAAUACUAAUGGAGAAGUAAUUAUCAUAGUUAAGGAGCUGAAAACCGAAAAAGAUGAGUUUUUGAAUACUCCUAGUACUGAAUGCAUUGCUAACUUCUCAGAUUUCAGUUGCUCCUAUUUAUCAGGAGAGCUUAGAGUAUGCUUCUGCUGUGGAGGAUCAGUCAUCAGAAACUGCAGAUUCUGAAAUUCGGAUUUUGACAGAGCUUGUGACAGUCUUACAUGUUAAUCAGACAGAAGCUAUGGACAAAGAUGAGUUGUUAAAGAUGGUGCUUUGGGUUUUUAGCUAUGGCUCACUGGUGUGAAACCCUGGAUUUGACUUUGAUGAAAGGAUUGUUGGUUAUAUCAAGGACUAUAGACGGGUGUUUAAUCUUGGUGAACAAAAUAAUUUGACAAUUUAGUUGGUUUCUGAUGCAGCGGUAUACUUGAACCUGUUGAUUCGCCUUCGAAUACCGGUAACAAGUUGUCCAAACCUUGUUGAUCAAAGAUAGCCAGGAAUUGGGAAAA